rnacentral:rRNA from 1 species
GAUGAACGCUGGCGGCGUGCCUAAUACAUGCCAGUCGAGCGAACAGACGAGGAGCUUGCUCCUCUGACGUUAGCGGCGGACGGGUGAGUAACACGUGGAUAACCUACCUAUAAGACUGGGAUAACUUCGGGAAACCGGAGCUAAUACCGGAUAAUAUAUUGAACCGCAUGGUACAAUAGUGAAAGACGGUUUUGCUGUCACUUAUAGAUGGAUCCGCGCCGCAUUAGCUAGUUGGUAAGGUAACGGCUUACCAAGGCAACGAUGCGUAGCCGACCUGAGAGGGUGAUCGGCCACACUGGAACUGAGACACGGUCCAGACUCCUACGGGAGGCAGCAGUAGGGAAUCUUCCGCAAUGGGCGAAAGCUUGACGGAGCAACGCCGCGUGAGUGAUGAAGGUCUUCGGAUCGUAAAACUCUGUUAUUAGGGAAGAACAAAUGUGUAAGUAACUAUGCACGUCUUGACGGUACCUAAUCAGAAAGCCACGGCUAACUACGUG